CGAUAACUUUGAUUACCGAACCGAUCGAUUCGGUUAACCGGAAUUUUCAGUUCGAUCUCGUCGGUUCAAUUCGGUUUUUUGAUUUUUCGUUAUCAAUUUAUUAUCCCUGGUUUUGAUUUUGGGAAGAGCGAGGUGACCGAACCGGAGAAUUUGGGAUCUCCUUCGAAUCUAUCCCUUUCGAUCUUUCUUCCCCUUUCCUCGUUCUUUUUCUCCUUUUUUCCCCUUUCUUUUUCCUCUCUCCUUCACCUCUCUUCCGCCCCGUCGUUGAAACUGAGCAGAGCAUUGCCGCACCCUCCGUUCGUCUCUCGGUUGAACAUCAAAAGUCGUUGUCGUAUAAUACUGCAUUCAAUAUAGAAUUUCGCCAUUUCAACUUAAUGUUAAGUUCCUAAACCCAAUCCGGGAUUCUAGGUGAAGCAUUUGCUUCGACGCACCGCUGAAUGCUACAUUCUGGAGUGAGAUUCAGCUCCAUUAAUCGCGACUUAUCCAGGCUUCUUGUGUAAACGGCAUCCUUGAUUAAAAAGGCCAUCAUAGUGCACCUGGUGCAUCCACUUUGCUCUCUACUGUGCAACCAUCCAUUGAAAGAGUGUAUACAUGUGGGAAGGCUUUACAUCUACUUUGGAUCCACCAAGUUCAUCUCCAUCAAGGGAUCCUGUACCUUCAUCAAAUAUAGACCUUCUAGUUGCUUUAUAUGGAUGGGAAUGACAAACUCGAUGAAGAAGUAUAUCAUCAAAUGGUGGCUGCUGCUGUAACAGUUAUGGCAGCUGGUGUUGCAGUUAUAGCUGCAGUUAACGUUUUCACAUCAAAACACUACAAAAAGAGGAGAUGCCUCACAGAUGAACUUGGGAAGAAAAUUGACAAGCUAGCAAAGCAGGUGGGAGAGGUGGCUGAGGCGGCUGAGGCACUGAAGAACACCCGUUACCAAGACUACACUACUGUACUUUAUGAAGAAGUAAUGAAGUCUGAAGGCUUUGAUGAGUCAUUCCUUGGAUCGGCCUUUGAUUUCUUGAUUGACAAUGAUAGAACUGCAACGUCCUUCCUUGCGAAGAGUCCUAAGCUGCGGAAACAGUGGUUGGUAGACUUCCAUGCCAAGAUGGAUGGCAAUGGUAGUUUUUAGGUUUGCCUUGCUUGGACUGCUUUUUGCUUUUGCCAUGUAUGGGUUUGAACAACUGAUAUUAUCUUUUCCCUUCAUUUUAAUUUUUAUCUUGUUAUUUUGACUAGUAUGAUGUUUUAUUGCAAAGUUUUAUGAUGGAUAAGCAGUCCCACAUUCAUUAUAAUAGUAUACUGGAGCUUCUCUCCUUAGCUUUUGUUUA